UAAUAUUGUAGGUACCAUGGCUGCCAAUGUUUGGGGUCUUGUGGGUGCCAAAAUCGAGUGGAAGAAGAGAAGAAGAUGGAAGUAGGGGUUGGCUAUAUACCACUUUGUCUCCUUGCCAAAAAAAUCCCUUUGGUGAUAAUAUUGUAGGUACCAUGGCUGCCAAUGUUUGGGGUCUUGUGGGUGCCAAAAUCGAGUGGAAGAAGAGAAGAAGAUGGAAGUAGGGGUUGGCUAUAUACCACUUUGUCUCCUUGCCAAAAAAAGUAUAAUUUCUAGUGUGUAAUGAUAGAAUCCUUAAAGUGAAGGUGUUGUGUUCCACCAUUGUUGCAAAUCAUAGAUGUGUAGUCCCUUUCAAGAAGUAACCAUAUACUACUUGUAUUUCCAUCAUUCUUGUAAAAAUACUCCUCAAGUAUUUUUUUUCUAAUAAAGUAUAUCUUUUACCUUUA